CACCCUUGUGACAUUCUCAAGAUACAUAUAUUUUUAAAUAGUCAUUGAUAUCAACGAAAUUCAAUGGCUGAGAAAAUAAAAUCUCAUACUAUCUCAUUGAGUGCAACUUGUCGCAAUUGUCAAUAUUGGAUAUAAAACCCUAACACUACAAUUGUGUAGAGUGGUACAAUAUUUUGUAAUAUGAUAUGUUAUUUAAUUCUCUUUUUAUCAAUAUAUAUUGCGAAGUUGUGAUAGGAUAUGGUGCUUUAGUGGUGAUAUGAUUGCACUAGUCUUUUUCUUCAAUAUAUAUCCAAUGUUUGAGCUCGUUGAAAUCAUCCAAUCAACAACUCCCAAAUCCAUCAUCUACCUAUUUAGAAAGGAAAGGAAAAUUCAAAGAGAAAGAGGAAGGAAUUUAGUCGAAGUAGCACUACACGAAAACUGGCUAAAAAUGACGGAAUUUUGAUCCAAUAAGUACUAAUUUUGACAGAUAUAAUAAAAAUAAAGUAAUAUAAUUCAUCAAUUGACACUUUUUAUUUCAACAAAUAGAAAAUAAACAUGCUUCAAUAAAAAACAAGAUUCCAAAAACUUAUAGUCGACCAUCUAUAUCGAACAUAAUUCUUAUAUCGUAAUCAAGACUCAUCAUUAUCAAGAUUACCUUCACAGGGAUUCUCACUUGUUUUAACAUCGAUCUUACAAACUUCAAAGAUCGAAAUCACAUUGGAAUCAGUCAAGUUGAUCUUUUGGAAGACUUCACAAAGGCAAGAUUUAUUAUCUGAGUAGAGAUGAUUCAUUUUGUCGCAACAUUUAUCCAUACCAACUGUGUUAUUUACAUUGAUGCAAGCAUCAGACAAAGUCUUUACGCAAGUAAGAUCUCCAUGAACCGUCAAUACCAUCCAGACUGUUAUGACCAUGAUCGCCAUAAAUGUAAUUGUCUUCUUCUCCAUCUUCAAAUCUCUUUCACACCAACUAGAUAGCUAGAUAAGAGUUAAGUACUCUUGUGUGACCAACUCAAU
rnacentral:lncRNA from 1 species